CAGAGUGUAGCUUAAUUAAAGUAUCUCGCUUACACCGAGAAGUCACCUGUGAAACUUGGGUCACUCUGA
rnacentral:tRNA from 1 species